rnacentral:lncRNA from 1 species
UAGAUGUUAUAAUUGCUCACAGCGAAUCACAAUUUUAAUAUCUAAUCUAAUCUAAUAUAAUAUUUGCUCUUGAUUUGCUCCGAUUUAACUAUUGUGUUGUAAAGGGAAUAGUCCACAUUUAUAAAGUGCCCACGCCACCAUUGAAAAAGUUAAUUUUGAAUCUAAAUUCGAUUUUAUUUGUAACAAUUUUGUAUUAGACUAUUAAUUUGUUCAUGAUAGUUUGUAAAAGAAGUUUGUAUCCCUUGCAUGCUGCGUUACUUACUAAUUUAAUGUAUGUGAAAUUUGUAAUGGAUAUUAAUGUAAGAUAUAUUUCGAACUUUACUUUUAUUUGAAUUUUUAUUUUAAUAUGAUUAACUCAAAAUCGAAAACAAAAAAAUGUAUUAGUUAUUCGGGGAUCGGGGACCCUCAGGGAUCCCCUGUUAUUAUUCGGGGAGGGGAUGAGGAUUCUCUCAAGUAAUUAUGAUGGGGACGGAGAGGGGACGGGGACAUACGCAAAAUAUCGGGGAUGGGUACGAGGAGAUUGGUCCCCUCCCCUCCCCUCCCCAUUGCCAUCCCUAACUGUAACUUACAUGCAAUGAUUGUUCCUCUUUGCAUCAGAUUUCAUAAUACAAAAUUGUCCACAAUGAGUUUCCAAAAGCAAAACAACACAAUUAGAAUAAAAAAAGUUCCGACAGUUUAUAACCAAACUAACCAAGACUUCAUCAGUAAUGAAACUUCAAAUUCAUCCAAUAUCAAUGCAGUAUAAAGCAAUAACAGUUUAUGGCUAGGGUGAUGACAGAUUGAUAAUAGCUGCAAAAUUUCAAUUGAAGGAGACAAAAACACUGGCUACGAACCAUGCACGACUCAUGAGUUGAGGCUAUAACCUAUAUGAAACAAAAACUAUAAACGAUAUUCCAUGAUUAUUGACCUAUAUUUCAAUCUGGAAAGAGGAAACUCAUUAUCUCAAACCCAUCUACAACAAACAUAAGUCUAAAAAAUGUCAUAGUUGUCUACAUAUAGUUAUCCAGUUUUCAUAAAUUACACAGAACUAUUAUCAAAUGAACUAUUUUUCGUGUCGCAAAAUUGUGCAUCUUAAAGCUCCUUUCACAACAUCAACUCCAGUGUAGCCAAAAAAAAAAAAUCUUCUUUUCAAGGAAAAACGACUAAAAGAUCCAUUAAAUUUAGGGAUCGCAAUGGAUUGGAUCUGACCCAAGAUCCACGUGAUCCAAAUCCAAUCGGAUCGAAUUUGGGUCGAUUUAAAAUGAAUUUGAAUUGGAUUUGGACAUUGAUAUGCGGAUCUGGAGCAAGUCUGAAUCUAUCUUAACAUCUAAAUCCAUAUUCACCCUUUUUUUAUUUUUUUUUAUUUUUAAAAGUUUCCUAUCAAUUGUGAAAUUAUAAUGAUAAUACAUUUUAUUCAUAGUAUAUUAGUGGUAUUUACCAUGCAUUUAAACUCUUAAAUCUUAAAGGUUGGUUUUGUAAAUUUAGAUGUCAGCCAGCCCCAAAACAUGUAUAUGCAAUAUUCAAAUUGCAAGCCAAGUAAUAUAACCUAGCAAUUUAUUUAAUUAUAUUGGCCAAAUAAUUUUUAAGGAAUAUAAAGAUUCAUAUAUUUAGUCAAAUAUGGUCAUAAUCAAAAUAAUAAAGCACUGAAUAUAAAAUCAUAUUUAAUUUAUAUGUCAUUAUCUAAUGUUGUAGGAGUGAGGGUGGAUGUGUCGUGGAUAUUAUAAUAAUGAAGGAGAUAGUAGAAUAUUAGAUUGAUCUUACGUCUACAAUUACUUUUGAAGAAUAUUUUAUUAUCUUUCUUAUUUGUUAUUUUGAUAUAAAAGUAUAAGAUACAAUAUUUAUUAUAUU